CGCUUUAAAAACCUGACUGCAAAGACUUGUGAAGGAAAACUCAAUCGCAAGGGAAUUUUGGGAGUUUGUUGAUCCUGACAGGUGGCACUACAGACUGGAAGAGUGCAGAAAUGACACAAGGAGUUUUUCACUGGAAGCGUUGCUGAGCACUACGAAGCUGUCGUGACAUCUCUGCCUCUCUCUGUCACUGUGUUGCUUACAGGCACUGGUACUGUGGCUACACUGCCGUUCUCUCUUCCCUCUCUCCCAGGUCUCCACAUGUAGCAUGCCCCCAAAGCCAUGGCUUUCCAGUGAGGAUCCAAAAAGCAUGCCGGAUGAGGUUGUCUUACACUUUAGACGCAUUAGGAUAAGGGUUCCCUUGCCAGGCUAGGUGAGCAUCAGGAUCAUGGGCACCACAGUCGUCACCAUUGAGGAUGUGCAGGCACUGGAGAUCAAGGAGGAGCAGGAAGAGUCCAUUUUGGCAAUGUUAGGCAUUAUUGGCACAUUCCUUAACCUUUUUGUAAUUGUCUUUGUUUACAUCUACACCACACUGUGAGGUUCCAAAGCAGAAGAUACAGGACCUCAAACAGUCUGUCUUGUGUGCAAGCAGGGAGGGACCUCUUAAUUAGAAAUUCACAAGUUCUGGGGAAAGAGGCUGGACAUGAACAUCUUCCCCACAGAGAGAAGGAGGGAACUGGAAAGACUGGAUAAUGAUGAGGAUGAAGAAGCCGUAUUUUCAAGUCACAGCCAUGAGCCAGGGAGAUAACAAAGGGCUGGAUGACAUGGCAGGAACAGAGCUCUGCUCGAACCUCCGUGAUCAGGGACAGACGGACACUACAAGCUGUCAGCCAGGACUGAACCCUCAGUGGCUUGACAGGAAUUACAAACUUCACCUUGAUCUAAAUUUCUUGGACUGCUUUACUUUGGAAACAUAAGCCAAAUAAUGUAGUCUUGUGGACAUAACUGAUGCUUUUUUCAUUCAUUUUACUUCAUUUUAAAGUUGGUUGACUGUUUUUCUUGUCUAAAAGGGAUUUUAGGCCACAUGAUUACAAAGUGAGAAGGGACUUUGAGUUACACUAGGAUGUUGCUGCAAAGAAAUGCAAGUAGGCUUCAGGACCAAAAUUCUUAUAGCUUCAGAGCCCACGUCAAAGAGUAGCUUUCUGGGGAAAUGUAGCUCCAGACAAACUCUGUUGUAUUGUUGUCUCCAAAAUGCGUUUGAUCAACAAAAGAUAACCAUCAAAAAAUCAUCGAGGGUGAAUUUCUAUAAAUGCUACUUCAAGAAAGAUGUGAAAAUACAAAGGAGGGAAGAUGUUUUUAUUGAAAACGGGUCUGUUACAUCUGCAGAAAUGAGUUACAUUAACCUGAACAAUGUAACUGAUUUAUAUACAAGAUGAAUAUGAGUUGAAGUGGUGUUGAAGGAUUCUAUCGACUUAUUUGUUCAUGUUGUUUUCCUGUAUUAAAAAGUAUUUUUUAAUAAAUAUUUAAACAGAG